rnacentral:rRNA from 1 species
CACUAUCGUUAACUGAAUACAUAGGUUAACGAGGCGAACCGGGGGAACUGAAACAUCUAAGUACCCCGAGGAAAAGAAAUCAACCGAGAUUCCCCCAGUAGCGGCGAGCGAACGGGGAGCAGCCCAGAGUCUGAAUCAGCUUGUGUGUUAGUGGAACGGUCUGGAAAGUCCGACGGUACAGGGUGAUAGUCCCGUACACCAAAAUGCACAGGCUGUGAACUCGAAGAGUAGGGCGGGACACGUGGUAUCCUGUCUGAAUAUGGGGGGACCAUCCUCCAAGGCUAAAUACUCCUGACUGACCGAUAGUGAACCAGUACCGUGAGGGAAAGGCGAAAAGAACCCCGGCGAGGGGAGUGAAAAAGAACCUGAAACCGUGUACGUACAAGCAGUGGGAGCACCUUCGGGUGUGACUGCGUACCUUUUGUAUAAUGGGUCAGCGACUUAUAUUCUGUAGCAAGGUUAACCGUAUAGGGGAGCCGCAGGGAAACCGAGUCUUAACUGGGCGUUAAGUUGCAGGGUAUAGACCCGAAACCCGGUGAUCUAGCCAUGGGCAGGUUGAAGGUUGGGUAACACUAACUGGAGGACCGAACCGACUAAUGUUGAAAAAUUAGCGGAUGACUUGUGGCUGGGGGUGAAAGGCCAAUCAAACCGGGAGAUAGCUGGUUCUCCCCGAAAGCUAUUUAGGUAGCGCCUCGUGAAUUCAUCUUCGGGGGUAGAGCACUGUUUCGGCUAGGGGGUCAUCCCGACUUACCAACCCGAUGCAAACUACGAAUACCGAAGAAUGUUAUCACGGGAGACACACGGCGGGUGCUAACGUCCGUCGUGAAGAGGGAAACAACCCAGACCGCCAGCUAAGGUCCCAAAGUCAUGGUUAAGUGGGAAACGAUGUGGGAAGGCACAGACAGCCAGGAUGUUGGCUUAGAAGCAGCCAUCAUUUAAAGAAAGCGUAAUAGCUCACUGGUCGAGUCGGCCUGCGCGGAAGAUGUAACGGGGCUAAACCAUGCACCGAAGCUGCGGCAGCGACACUAUGUGUUGUUGGGUAGGGGAGCGUUCUGUAAGCCUGCGAAGGUGACCUGUGAGGGUUGCUGGAGGUAUCAGAAGUGCGAAUGCUGACAUAAGUAACGAUAAAGCGGGUGAAAAGCCCGCUCGCCGGAAGACCAAGGGUUCCUGUCCAACGUUAAUCGGGGCAGGGUGAGUCGACCCCUAAGGCGAGGCCGAAAGGCGUAGUCGAUGGGAAACAGGUUAAUAUUCCUGUACUUGGUGUUACUGCGAAGGGGGGACGGAGAAGGCUAUGUUAGCCGGGCGACGGUUGUCCCGGUUUAAGCAUGUAGGCUGGUUGUCCAGGCAAAUCCGGAUAAUCAAGGCUGAGGUGUGAUGACGAGGUACUACGGUGCUGAAGUAACAAAUGCCCUGCUUCCAGGAAAAGCCUCUAAGCAUCAGGUAACAUCAAAUCGUACCCCAAACCGACACAGGUGGUCAGGUAGAGAAUACCAAGGCGCUUGAGAGAACUCGGGUGAAGGAACUAGGCAAAAUGGUGCCGUAACUUCGGGAGAAGGCACGCUGGUGUGUAGGUGAAGUCCCUGCGGAUGGAGCUGAGACCAGUCGAAGAUACCAGCUGGCUGCAACUGUUUAUUAAAAACACAGCACUGUGCAAACACGAAAGUGGACGUAUACGGUGUGACGCCUGCCCGGUGCCGGAAGGUUAAUUGAUGGGGUUAUCCGUAAGGAGAAGCUCUUGAUCGAAGCCCCGGUAAACGGCGGCCGUAACUAUAACGGUCCUAAGGUAGCGAAAUUCCUUGUCGGGUAAGUUCCGACCUGCACGAAUGGCGUAAUGAUGGCCAGGCUGUCUCCACCCGAGACUCAGUGAAAUUGAACUCGCUGUGAAGAUGCAGUGUACCCGCGGCAAGACGGAAAGACCCCGUGAACCUUUACUAUAGCUUGACACUGAACAUUGAGCCUUGAUGUGUAGGAUAGGUGGGAGGCUUUGAAGCGUGGACGCCAGUCUGCGUGGAGCCAACCUUGAAAUACCACCCUUUAAUGUUUGAUGUUCUAACGUUGGCCCCUGACCGGGGUUGCGGACAGUGUCUGGUGGGUAGUUUGACUGGGGCGGUCUCCUCCCAAAGCGUAACGGAGGAGCACGAAGGUUAGCUAAUCCUGGUCGGACAUCAGGAGGUUAGUGCAAUGGCAUAAGCUAGCUUGACUGCGAGCGUGACGGCGCGAGCAGGUGCGAAAGCAGGUCAUAGUGAUCCGGUGGUUCUGAAUGGAAGGGCCAUCGCUCAACGGAUAAAAGGUACUCCGGGGAUAACAGGCUGAUACCGCCCAAGAGUUCAUAUCGACGGCGGUGUUUGGCACCUCGAUGUCGGCUCAUCACAUCCUGGGGCUGAAGUAGGUCCCAAGGGUAUGGCUGUUCGCCAUUUAAAGUGGUACGCGAGCUGGGUUUAGAACGUCGUGAGACAGUUCGGUCCCUAUCUGCCGUGGGCGCUGGAGAAUUGAGGGGGGCUGCUCCUAGUACGAGAGGACCGGAGUGGACGCAUCACUGGUGUUCGGGUUGUCAUGCCAAUGGCACUGCCCGGUAGCUAAAUGCGGAAGAGAUAAGUGCUGAAAGCAUCUAAGCACGAAACUUGCCCCGAGAUGAGUUCUCCCUGAGACUUUAAGUCUCCUGAAGGAACGUUGAAGACGAUGACGUUGAUAGGCCGGGUGUGUAAGCGCAGCGAUGCGUUGAGCUAACCGGUACUAAUGAACCGUGAGGCUUAACCUUACAACGCCGAAG